rnacentral:rRNA from 1 species
UAGAAGCAGCCACUCAUUCAAAGAGUGCGUAAUAGCUCACUGGUCGAGUGAUCCUGCGCCGAAGAUUUCCGGGGCUAAAACUUACUACCGAAGCUACGGCAUCAGUAAUGAUGGGUAGGGGAGCUUCACAUACGGGUUGAAGCAUGACCGUAAGGACAUGUGGACAGUAUGGGAGUGAGAAUGUUGGCAUGAGUAGCGAGAUGUGGGUGAGAAUCCCACAGGCCGUAAACCCAAGGUUUCCAGGGGAAGGUUCGUCCGCCCUGGGUUAGUCGGGACCUAAGCUGAGGCCGAAAGGCGUAGG